rnacentral:lncRNA from 1 species
UUAUGGUCAGCAUAGUUUUGAUAUUCCUUUACCUUGAUUUUUUUGACCUUCGUCUUGUCAAGGUGGUCUUUUUUACUUUGGUCAUUGGAGGCUUGGCCAUUCAAGGCUCAGUCUCUGGUUUGAUCUUAACCUUCACCUUGGCCUCCGCAUCCUGACUCUAUCAUCCGUUGAACUAAUGGCAAAUCACUUCGCUUCUUAAGACUAUGGGCUUGGUUCUUACACAUCUCGGUAAAAAAUCACCAUACGCAAUGUACAUCUCACACUAGCCAUCCAUAAUGUACGUCUCACACUAGGCCCAUCACUGUAGCUCUGAUUUGGCAAUUUAAAGCCUUAUCAAUAGCACACGAUAAGCAUUGAAGG